rnacentral:rRNA from 1 species
CCUACGGGAGGCAGCAGUGAGGAAUAUUGGUCAAUGGGCGCGAGCCUGAACCAGCCAUGUAGCGUGAAGGAUGACUGCCCUACGGGUUGUAAACUUCUUUUAUAAAGGAAUAAAGUGAGGCACGUGUGCCGUUUUGUAUGUACUUUAUGAAUAAGGAUCGGCUAACUCCGUGCCAGCAGCCGCGGUAAUACGGAGGAUCCGAGCGUUAUCCGGAUUUAUUGGGUUUAAAGGGAGCGUAGAUGGGUUGUUAAGUCAGUUGUGAAAGUUUGCGGCUCAACCGUAAAAUUGCAGUUGAAACUGGCAGUCUUGAGUACGUUUGAGGCAGGCGGAAUUCGUGGUGUAGCGGUGAAAUGCUUAGAUAUCACGAAGAACCCCGAUUGCGAAGGCAGCUUACUAAGCUGCGACUGACAUUGAUGCUCGAAAGUGUGGGGAUCAAACAGGAUUAGAUACCCUGGUAGUC